rnacentral:rRNA from 1 species
GACGAACCGUGCGACCGUUAUUCGGAAUCACUGGGCUUAAAGCGCGUGUAGGCGGUUGGGAACGUCGGUCGUUGAAAUCCCCCGGCUCAACCGGGGAAGGGGCGCCGAAACGACCCGUCUGGAGGGACGUAGGGGGACCUGGAACUUCCGGUGGAGCGGUGAAAUGCGUUGAGAUCGGAAGGAACGCCCGUGGCGAAAGCGAGGUCCUGGACGUCUACUGACGCUGAGACGCGAAAGCUAGGGUAGCGAACGGG